rnacentral:lncRNA from 1 species
UUUUCUUGUCUUCCUUGGCUGAAUUAGAGAGAGAGAAAAGAGAGAAAAUCCCUUCAUCUUCCACUUCAAUUUCUUGUCCAAAUUUUGAGUUUUAACCGAUUAAUUUGCAAACUACUCCAUAAAACUUGCUUUCCAAGUAGUUUCCAAGGUGUUUAUGGAAGGAUUUUUGGAGGACAAAGCCUAAGCUACCAUUUUUCUUGAGUUUUCAAGGUAUUUUACCAAGAACCUCUUCUUUACUUCAAUUAAUUGGUAAUUAGUGGUUGAAAGUUGUAGUUUUGGUAGUUUAUGAGUAUAUUUCAUAGUUGGAAGUAGUAUUAUGGAAAUUCCAGUUUAAGGUUUCAUUUUUCCCCUUUCUGUCCGUUUCUGUUCGACCAGGUUAGAGGCCGAAUUGGCCUUAGCACAAAACAUGAAAGUUGUAGAAAAUGAUGUUUGCUAGUUGCCUGUAAAAUUUCAGCCCAAUCGGAGCAACGUAGCCUGUGAAAAGACCGAAAUACCCCUGCUGCCCUGUUUCUAUCCGAGAAUGAUAAUCAGCUUCUGUAAUUGGUUGUUUUGACCAGGAAUACUACUGAUUUGGUUGUUGAUGUCUUCUUAACAUUUAUAGCCUUGUAUCUUAGCUUUCCAAUGGCUUUGGAAUCACUUCAAUUGGAGUUGUAGGUGCUGAGAUAUGACUGCAUAAGUCAGGACUGCUGCAGUACACUUUGAACUGGAAAAUCUUGGGUUGUUUUGGUAAAUUUGACCUAGUUAGGAUGAGAACUGGAAUGUAUUGUCUUCAUUAAAGUUGUAUAUAUUGAUGUGUUUGAGGUUCCUGUAAAAUUUCAGGCCAAUCGGAGUAGCGUAGCUCAUGAAAAGACGGAAUUACCCUUGCUGUCCUGUUUUUACCCGAACUUGAAAACUGCUUCAGUAAUUGGCUAUUUUGGUUGGGAUUACUUCUGAUUUGGGUUUUGGUGCCUUCUUAGGAAAUGUAGCCCCUUGAGUCCUGAGUAUGCCUGUAAAAUUUCAGGUCAAACAAGUUAGCGUAUUCUGAGUUAUAGACAAAACCCUCAGGCCUGUUUUAGACAUUGGUUUGUGUACGUUUUGAAUUUCAGCUUCUGCCCGUGAUUUUUCGGUUUUGAUCCCGUACGAACUGGGUGCUGAUCCCUUCAUAAGAAAUUUAGAUCUUGAUCUUAGCUUCGAAACGGUAUAAAGUACGCCGAAAUCCGAGUUCCGUAGCCCCUGUUAUGAUCAAAACAAUAUCGCUCGUCAGAACUGCCUUGUAUCUGGACAGUUCUGACGGGUACCUUGGCACUCGAUUUUCGUUCUGUUCUGAGUGGAUUCAAGUCUUGGCCAAAACAUCAAAGUUUUAACCUUAUAUUUCAGCUUUCUAACGCCUCUGGAAUUUCUUGAUUUCGAUUCCUGAGCCGUGAGUUAUGGCCUUGCAAACAGGGCCUGUGUGGUAAACCGCAAUGAAACAGCUGGCACUAUUUCGUGCAUUUUUGACCUAUACCUAUUGAGAUCUGGGUUGAGAUGUCUAAAGGGAAGUUGUAGCCCUUCCUCUUAGCUUCGCAACGGUACCUCAUGUACCUUGAUCCGAUACUCCUAGCCUAACUUUUGACCAAAACGGUUUGAGAUGGCAGUUGUGGCCGUUUCCGUUUGCCGUUCCGCGCGCGCGCGUGCGCCCCUUUUUGCCGUUUCCGCAAAUUACGUGUGCCAAUUUUGCCGUUUUACUUGUUUUGGAUCGGUUCGUAGCCGUUUGUGACAUAAGUGAUAAAAUCUUGUAUUUCAGAUAGUGGUGAGCUAGGCGGAGCCGGUGGGGCCCACUACUAGCGAUCACGCGCGAAGCAAUCUUGUACUACUUUUGGUAUUUUGAGUAAGUAUUCAGGCCAGUUUGGUGUGUUUUCUUUGCUAUGUGUUUGAGAUAUGUGAAAAGGGCACUU